UACGUAGGGACCAAGCGUUGUUCGGAUUUACUGGGCGUAAAGCGUGCGCAGGCGGUUUUGUAAGCCAGAUGUGAAAGCCCCGGGCUUAACCUGGGAAUGGCAUUUGGGACUGCAAGGCUCGAGUGCGGCAGAGGAGACUGGAAUUCCUGGUGUAGCAGUGAAAUGCGUAGAUAUCAGGAGGAACACCGAUGGCGAAGGCAGGUCUCUGGGCUGACACUGACGCUCAUGCACGAAAGCGUGGGGAGCAAACAGG
rnacentral:rRNA from 1 species